rnacentral:rRNA from 1 species
UACAGAGGGUGCAAGCGUUGUUCGGAAUUAUUGGGCGUAAAGGGUGCGUAGGCGGUGCGGUAAGUCUCUUGUGAAAUCUCCGGGCUCAACUCGGAGCCUGCAAGGGAAACUGCCGUGCUUGAGUAUGGGAGAGGUGAGUGGAAUUCCCGGUGUAGCGGUGAAAUGCGUAGAUAUCAGGAGGAACACCGGUGGCGAAAGCGCUUGUCUGGCCCAAUACUGACGCUGAGGUGCGAAAGCGUGGGGAGCAAACAGG